ACAGAGUACACACACACACAGAAUAUAUAUGCAUAUGCAUAUGUACAUAUACAUGUAUAUGUAGGGAUAGAUUUGGAUAAGAUCGAUCAGAUUUACUCACACACACAUAUACACAAAGUACAUAUGCAUAACACACACACAGUACAUUUGCAUAUGCAUAUGUACAUAUAUAUGUAUAUGUAGGGGCAAAUUUGGAUAAGGUCGAUCGGAUUUACGCACACAUACAGAGUACACACACACAGAAUAUAUAUGCAUAUGUAUAUGUACAUAUAUAUGUAUAUGUAGGGAUAGAUUUGGAUAAGAUCGAUCAGAUUUACUCACACACACAUAUACACAAAGUACAUAUGCAUAACACACACACAGUACAUUUGCAUAUGCAUAUGUACAUAUAUAUGUAUAUGUAGGGGCAAAUUUGGAUAAGGUCGAUCGGAUUUACACACACAGAGUACAUAUGCAUAUAUAUAUAUAUGUGUGUGUGUGUGUAUGUGUGUAGGGGCAGAUUUGGAUAAAGUCGAUCGGAUUUAGGCUUAGAUCUGAUCAGGUCAAUU
rnacentral:lncRNA from 1 species